CCUACGGGAGGCAGCAGUGGGGAAUAUUGCACAAUGGGGGAAACCCUGAUGCAGCGAAGCCGCGUGAGCGAUGAAGUAUUUCGGUAUGUAAAGCUCUAUCAGCAGGGAAGAAAAUGACGGUACCUGACUAAGAAGCCCCGGCUAACUACGUGCCAGCAGCCGCGGGAAUACGGAGGGGGCAAGCGUUAUCCGGAUUUACUGGGUGUAAAGGGAGCGUAGACGGUCCUGCAAGCCAGAUGUGAAAGCGCGGGGCUCAACCCCGGGACUGCAUUUGGAACUGUAAGGCUAGAGUGUCGGAGAGGCAGGCGGAAUUCCUAAUGUAGCGGUGAAAUGCGUAGAUAUUAGGAGGAACACCAGUGGCGAAGGCAGCCUGCUGGACGAUGACUGACGUUGAGGCUCGAGAGCGUGGGGAGCAAACAGGAUUAGAUACCCGAGUAGUC
rnacentral:rRNA from 1 species